UACAGAGGGUGCUAGCGUUGUUCGGAAUCAUUGGGCGUAAAGGGCGUGUAGGCGGUUUGUUAAGUCAUGUGUGAAAGCCCCCGGCUCAACCGGGGAACGACGCAUGAAACUGGCAAGCUAGAGUACCGAAGAGGCGAGUGGAACUCCUGGUGUAGCGGUGGAAUGCGCAGAUAUCAGGAAGAACACCGACGGCGAAGGCAGCUCGCUGGGACGGUACUGACGCUGAGGCGCGAAAGCGUGGGGAGCGAACAGG
rnacentral:rRNA from 1 species